rnacentral:rRNA from 1 species
AACGUAGGACGCAAGCGUUAUCCGGAGUUACUGGGCGUAAAGGGCAGGCAGGCGGGUCGAUAAGUCGGAUGUGAAAUCUCCCUGGCUUAACCGGGAGAGUGCAUUUGAGACUGUCAACCUGGAGGGCAGCAGAGGAGCGUGGAAUUCCGGGUGGAGUGGUGAAAUGCGUAGAGAUCCGGAGGAACACCAGAGGCGAAAGCGGCGCUCUGGGCUGCACCUGACGCUGAGGAGCGAAAGCCAGGGGAGCAAACGGG